UUUAAAUGUAAUUUAUAAAACUAAAUUAGUAUUAGUUAUGUUCUUGAAAAUUAAAGAUUUUGGCGGUAUUUUAGUCUAUUCAGAGGAACCUGUUCUGUAAUCGAUAAUCCACGAUUUAAUUUACUUUUUUUAUUAAUUUACAUAUCGUCGUAAUUUGAAUAUUUUAUAAGAAUUUUAAUAUUCAAGAAUUUUGAUAAUAAAAUAAAUCAGAUCAAGGUGUAGUUUAUAUAAAAGAAGAAAUGGGUUACAUUAAAAAUAAUUGAAGAUUAUUAUUUUUAAAGUAAUAUGAAUUUGGAUUUGAAGGUAAUUUUAAUUAAUUUAUUAAUUUGAUUUUAGCUCUAAAAUAUGC
rnacentral:rRNA from 1 species